UUACUCACUUUGGCAGCACAUGUAGUGAAGCUGGUACAAUACAGAGAAGAUUGGCAUGGCCCCUGUGCAAGGAUGACACGUAAUUUCUUGAAGUGUUCCAUAUUUUU